UACAGAGGUCUCAAGCGUUGUUCGGAUUCAUUGGGCGUAAAGGGUGCGUAGGUGGCGGGGCAAGUCUGGUGUGAAAUCUCAGAGCUCAACUCUGAAACUGCACUCGAUACUGCUUUGCUCGAGGACUGGAGAGGAGAUUGGAAUUCACGGUGUAGCAGUGAAAUGCGUAGAUAUCGUGAGGAAGACCAGUGGCGAAGGCGGAUCUCUGGACAGUUCCUGACGCUGAGGCGCGAAGGCCAGGGGAGCAAACGGG
rnacentral:rRNA from 1 species